UUAUCCUUGGGAGUCAGACUGCGAGUGAUAAGAUCCGUAGUCGAAAGGGAAACAGCCCAGACCGCCAGCUAAGGUCCCAAAGUAUACGUUAAGUGGAAAAGGAUGUGGAGUUGCUUAGACAACCAGGAUGUUGGCUUAGAAGCAGCCAUCAUUUAAAGAGUGCGUAAUAGCUCACUGGUCGAGUGACUCUGCGCCGAAAAUGUACCGGGGCUAAACGUAUCACCGAAGCUGCGGACUGUUCUUACGAACAGUGGUAGGAGAGCGUUCUAAGGGCUGUGAAGCGAGACCGGAAGGACUC
rnacentral:rRNA from 1 species